UCCGGGAUAUGAUGAUAUUUAUUCGCCUUGCCCGAAUGUAUCCUCGUGAUACAUCAUGUGGGCUGCGAUACAUGAUUUGCACGUCAGUCUGAUCCCUAU
rfam:Physcomitrella patens subsp. patens PHYPAscaffold_25 genomic scaffold, whole genome shotgun sequence.